rnacentral:rRNA from 1 species
GGAAGGAUCAUUACCGAGUUGAUUCGAGCUCCGGCUCGACUCUCCCACCCUUUGUGUACCUACCUCUGUUGCUUUGGCGGGCCCGCGGUUCGGCCUCGUGCCGUCCAGCACCCGCCAGAGGACCACAAAACUCCAGUCAGUGAACGUCUCAGUCUGAAAAACAAGUUAAUAAACUAAAACUUUCAACAACGGAUCUCUUGGUUCUGGCAUCGAUGAAGAACGCAGCGAAAUGCGAUAAGUAAUGUGAAUUGCAGAAUUCAGUGAAUCAUCGAAUCUUUGAACGCACAUUGCGCCCCUUGGUAUUCCGGGGGGCAUGCCUGUUCGAGCGUCAUUUCAACCCUCAAGCUCUGCUUGGUAUUGGGCUCCGUCCUCAGGGACGCGCCUCAAAGACCUCGGCGGUGGCGUCUUGCCUCAAGCGUAGUAGAAAACACCUCGCUUUGGAGCGCACGGCGUCGCCCGCCGGACGAACCUUUGAAUUUUUCUCAAGGUUGACCCUCGGAUCAG